UUUUUCUUCGUUCUCCCUCAACCCAAGCCGCUCUUCCCUUCCCUCAACCCACGCCGCCAAUUCAUCUCCGCUUCACUACUCCCUCUGACCGAACCAUCAUCACAAACACAGCCUCUGCUCUUCUUCCUCUGAGUGAACCCAUACCGAACCCACUCUUCUCUCCCUGACCAAACCCAAAAGCCCAGUCUUGAAAGUCAUAUUCUCAUCUCAAAACCGAAGAUUCAUGGGAGGGGAUUAGGCUUCCAUUUGGGUCAGACUGAAGCUCCAUGGGUCAGGCUUCCAUUUAGGUUUUGUUUUGGGUUAGGGAUUUUGUGGAUCUUGUAUUGCUGCUCAGUUCUUCCCGAUCUGAUCUUAGAGCUAAAAGCUUUACCCAAAUUUCGCACUCCAAAACCACCGCUGACCAGCGCACGGCGCCAUUUUGAGCUUUGGCGGACAAGUCCUCGGCUCAUCUCUAAUUCUCUCUUGUCAGUAUAACCAAAAACACUAGAGCGAUACCAGCAAUCUUGCUUCACUCCUCAGGAUAACAGCAUUGAACGUGAAGCACAGCUGCUGGAUUUCUGCACUGGAUAGCUGCUGCCUGCAGAGUGUGGGCUGCUGUUUUCUUAUUCUGCACUGGUUUAAUUUAACUGCUGUUUUUUCCUCUGCACUGGUUUUUCUGCACUGGGUAGCUGCUGGAUUUCUGUACUGGAUAGCUGCUGCCAGCAGUGGAGCAUCAACAGCUAAUGCAGCAACUCAAGAAGCUGUGGUGGAAGAUGCUGUCAAAGCUAAAUGGCUUGGUUGCUGCAGAAUUUUGUUUAUGUGUAAUAGUAAAAGAGUAGCUCAAGUCUGUAAUUUUAGUUGCACACCAAGUUGGCAGGAAAAAAUUAUGGUUGCUGACAUCUCAAACU